GCCUGGCUGGCUUAGUCGGUAGAGCAAGUGACUUCAGAUCUCAGGGUCAUGGGUUCAAGCCCCACACUGGGUG
rnacentral:tRNA from 1 species